AGAGUUUGAUCAUGGCUCAGAACAAACGCUGGCGGCGUGCCUAACACAUGCAAGUCGAACGCGAAAGUCGGCUUCGGCCGAUGAGUAAAGUGGCGCACGGGUGAGUAACGCGUGGAUAAUCUGCCCCUCAGUUUGGAAUAACUCACCGAAAGGUGGGCUAAUACCGAAUAACACUGUACGGCCACGGCCGGGCAGCCAAAGAUAGCCUCUGCUUGCAAGCUUUCGCUGAAGGAUGAGUCCGCGUACCAUUAGCUUGUUGGUGGGGUAACGGCCUACCAAGGCAACGAUGGUUAGCUGGUCUGAGAGGAUGAUCAGCCACACUGGAACUGAGACACGGUCCAGACUCCUACGGGAGGCAGCAGUGAGGAAUCUUGCGCAAUGGGGGAAACCCUGACGCAGCAACGCCGCGUGAGUGAGGAAGGUCUUCGGAUCGUAAAGCUCUGUCGGGUGGAAAGAAAUGUAUGGGGUUAACAGCCUCCAUACUUGACGGUACCACCAGAGGAAGCACCGGCUAACUCCGUGCCAGCAGCCGCGGUAAUACGGGGGGUGCAAGCGUUGUUCGGAAUUAUUGGGCGUAAAGAGCGUGUAGGCGGCUUGGCAAGUCAGAUGUGAAAGCCCCGGGCUUAACCCGGGAAGUGCAUUUGAAACUGCCUGGCUUGAGUAGGGGAGAGGGAAGUGGAAUUCCUGGUGUAGAGGUGAAAUUCGUAGAUAUCAGGAGGAACACCGGCGGCGAAGGCGACUUCCUGGCCCUAUACUGACGCUGAGACGCGAGAGCGUGGGUAGCAACAGGAUUAGAUACCCUGUAGUCCACGCCGUAAACGAUGUUCACUAGGUGUUGGGGGUAUUGACCCUCUCAGUGCCGGAGCUAACGCAUUAAGUGAACCGCCUGGGGAGUACGGUCGCAGACUAAAACUCAAAUGAAUUGACGG
rnacentral:rRNA from 1 species